UACGUAGGGUGCAAGCGUUGUCCGGAAUUAUUGGGCGUAAAGAGCUCGUAGGCGGUUCGUCGCGUCGGCUGUGAAAACCUGAGGCUCAACCUCAGGCCUGCAGUCGAUACGGGCGGACUUGAGUACUGCAGGGGGAGACUGGAAUUCCUGGUGUAGCGGUGAAAUGCGCAGAUAUCAGGAGGAACACCGGUGGCGAAGGCGGGUCUCUGGGCAGUAACUGACGCUGAGGCGCGAAAAGCGUGGGGAGCAAACAGG
rnacentral:rRNA from 1 species